GAAUGUGUGUGAAGCAAAUUACAUCACACAAUCUCAGAUAAAGAGCUCAUUCUCAAUCAAAUACAGUGGAACCUCGGUUGUCGUACGCCUCCCUUUUUCGAACAAUUCGGUUCACAAACUAAAUUUUUAACCAAAAUGUAUCCCGGUUGUACCAUAACUCAGUUGCUGAACAAACCAACCAUUUUACAUUGAUUCCUAUGGGAAAAUGAUUGUCUGUAGAGCAGGUAAUGGAGCCUAAAAUGAAUGACAAUGAGAUGAGAUUGCUUUAACCAAUCAGAUUUUGUUGACAACAUCAAGCCUUUCCAGCAGGUCUAUAUAUAUGUGAGGCCUGGGGUUUUGGUGUAUGUUUCGGUACUGCUUUUAUUUGUAUUGUGGGCAAGGUGCUGAGUUACAUUGAUGUGUCACACACCUGCGUCUGGUUUCCUCGUCAGGAGGAAGGUGUAUUCAAACGCUACCUUGCAAGAAACCAGUGCUGGAUAAUCUGUACAAAAGAGCACAUGAACUCGUCUUAAGUAAGAGAGAAGGAUGGAGAAUGGAGAAUUGAAGAACUGCAGCAGUGUAGCAAGUCCUCCCUUCACUUUACUAAACAGCUGGUAGAGGAGGGAGAGCUCAGUGACACGGUUCUCAUCCAGCAGGGUGCUCAAACCUGGAAAAACAAACAUACUGGGUGCUCUGGUCGAGGUAGCUGACGAUUCGAUCAUUCUCCUCCUCUAAGCGUCGAGCCACGUGAUGCAAAUACUCAGGAGCCGCUGUCCCUCUGCUGCAUACAAACGAUUUGUCUCCACCAAAAACCUCUCCUCAAAGGAAUUUUUAUAAACCUUAAAAAAAGCAGAUGGACAAGUGGCAACAACAACUUCCAAGAUUUUACUCAUGAUCACAAUGAUG